rnacentral:lncRNA from 1 species
GAACCCAGGUAUAAUUCUCACAUGCAGAUGCUGAGGAUGUGGAGACGGUUCCUGGAAGGCAGUCAUUGCAUAGUCAUCUGCUUGCAUUUUCCAGUUCUCAGUAUCCUAAGGUCAAGUUUCCUAAAAAUCAGAAUCGAGGCAUGGGGGUGAAGAAUGCAGCUGCAACAAGAAGAUGUGUGAAGAUGAUGAAAAGUGCUUUUCAUACAACCUGGUCAUUCCUUCAGCCUGGUCCUUGGCAGACAACUCCUGAUGUUGCAUGGACCACCUACCCAAGGAUGGCAUCACUCAUAGUGAGCUGGGUUUUCCUUCAUCAACAAACAGUCAAGAAAAUGCUAGACCAUUUGGGUUCCAUAAUGAAGGAUGCUGAGGUGGUUAUCACAAGUAAUAAUACCACAGUGAACAACCUUGUGGAUAGCACUGGGGGCAUGAGAGAUGGAACCAAACCUAUUCGUUCACUCAACACUAGAGAAUAGUCAUGAAAACAAUACUGAGUUGAUCUAUCAGAGCUGCCACCACAACCUGCC